rnacentral:rRNA from 1 species
UGAGGAAUAUUGCACAAUGGGCGCAAGCCUGAUGCAGCAACGCCGCGUGAGGGACGAAGGCCUUCGGGUCGUAAACCUCUUUUCUGGGGGACGAGUAAGGACGGUACCUCAGGAAUAAGUCUCGGCUAACUACGUGCCAGCAGCCGCGGUAAAACGUAGGAGGCGAGCGUUAUCCGGAUUUACUGGGCGUAAAGCGUACGCAGGUGGCUUCGUGAGUCGGACAUGAAAGCUCCCGGCUUAACUGGGAGAGGUUGUUCGAUACUGCGAGGCUUGAGGUUGGGAGAGGGACGUGGAAUUCCCGGUGUAGUGGUGGAAUGCGUAGAUAUCGGGAGGAACACCAGUGGCGCAAGCGGCGUCCUGGCCCACACCUGACGCUGAGGUACGAAAGCGUGGGUAGCAAACAG